rnacentral:misc_RNA from 1 species
AUUGAAAUGUAUUUUGGUGAUAAUUAAGCAUUUGCAAUUUGAAUAAUUUGGAUUUUUUGGUGGAUCGUAAUGGGUUAUUUGAAUUCGGUGUUGUCAUCUUCUUCUAAUCAAAUUCAUGCUGAUGAUGCGCCUGUUAGUGGCGGUGGAUUAAGUCAAAAUGGGAAGUUUAGCUAUGGAUAUUCUAGCUCCCCGGGAAAAAGGUCCUCCAUGGAGGAUUUCUAUGAGACAAGAAUUGAUGGCGUUGAUGGAGAGGUAGUUGGUCUCUUUGGAGUUUUUGAUGGUCAUGGA